rnacentral:tRNA from 1 species
AAAAGGAUUUAAGUUAAAUAUAAACUCGUAGCCUUCAAAGCUUCAAAUAAAGAAUUUGGACCUUUAAGCCUUA